rnacentral:lncRNA from 1 species
UAUUAUUUGAAUUUAUCUGACUAGGUGCGGCGCGACUAGGAUAUGAAUUUUAAUUGUAUUACUCAAGUUAGCAUUCAAGUUGAAGUUCAAGUUCAAGUUAAAUUUCCAGGUGUGGGAUUUAUUUCAGUACAUGCACGUGGUUAAUAUUUGUCCAUUUUAAUAUUAUGUGUUUACCGUAUGUGUUGUAAAAAUAUUUAUCGCUAGGGGCCAGCAUAAUUGGUCCAGGACUUCACCGUCCUUGGUAUGCCACAAUGCGAUUUCAUGUUACAGGGUUGCAACCAUUAUAUUGUCGCCAGGGGCCCACAUAUAGGGUCCGGGACAUUAAAGUCCUUGGAUUGCCACAGUGCGUAUGGAAGUUAUGUUACGUUAUGACAAUAUGUGUUACCAUUUUAUUAACAUGGACAAUUAUUGCAUGUUCCCACACUGAGUGUACCCUGUAUGCUCAUCCCAUAUUCAACAGUUUCAGGUGAUUGAUAUCGGAGGCGCGUGGAGAGUCGAAUGGGCGCGUCGAAUCUAUUUAAAGAUAAAUGUUUCCUAAAACAUAUUAUGUUAUUUCAUGUGAUAUCUCUUGAUUAUGUAAACUCUGAAAUUCUAUACUAUUUGAGAUUUG